GAUGACGCUCCGCUUGCCACAGCAGGUGGCGUGGACCAAGCUUCUCCUCGACCCCUUCCUCGGGGGUCACGCCAGGGCGGCCGCCAAUGCCCUCUCCCGUUUAGUAGGGGUAGGGGGACACGGCGAUGAGCAAGACGAAGACGCUUUGGUGGCGCGGUGCCGCAGCACGCACGGGCUUGACCCCCGACCUGCACUUGAAGAUCUGCGUCAGCCAGGCUCUCGGGGACAACGCCAUUGACCACCACGUCGAGGAGCAGGAGGCCAUCGGGAUCCAGACCCCGGGCCACCUGGGUCAUCAUCCCUUCUGGACCAGCCCCGGUUUGUUCCAAACCGUUUGAAAAAAGAACCAAAAAAUGGCCCUGGACGUGGAUUCUCAGAUCUUCUUCAUGUGAUGCCCCGCCCUCCACGCAGGACCAGGUGGGGCCAUGGACUGGGCAAGGGGAACACACCCGCUCCCCACUUGCUCUGAGUCAGGGACGGUGCCAGCUUUGCAAGGUUCACAGGAGCUGGCCAGGCCCCUGUGCAUGGGCACCACCUUCCCAGCCUCUCUGUGCGUCUGUUUCAUGGAACAAAGCCUGGUCCACGGGCUUGGGGCCAGAUGCUUCUCCAGGCCUCACACUCCUGCAGCUAGAAUAAGCAGCCAUGUCUGGGCAGCGUCUCGCUUCAUCUGCUGUCUGCUGACAGCCAGCUCAGAGUGACUUCCCCAGCAAAAUCCCCUGACCCCACACUGCUCAUGCGGGACCAUGGCCAAGGGCAGCUUCAGAGGAGCUACUUUCAGUGAAGACUCCAUGAAUACUGCCCCUCCUGGACCCCCACGAGGGGCCAGGGAUUCCUUGGGAAGGGAGAGACAGUGACGUCCACUGUCACAAGCUCUGCAAGUCUCUCAGAGCAUUCAUCGCUCAGACACCGUACAUGAGAGCUCUGUGUGCAGGUGACUCUUCUUAGUCCUCUAGGUUUUCUAGGCAAUUCAAUUCUCCAUGUUUCCCGCUUCCCGUCACCUCCAGCCUGCACCCCUCACUCAUGACUGGAGAUCCCUCCACUUCCAUCAGCCUGAGCUUUAACUUAAAUGGGGAAAAGCCUCAGGGAGCCAUCGGUGGCUUGGGAAACCACAAUCUGAGCGCCCGCACCCCCAGAACACUGACCGUUUCACACACUCUUGGUCUGACUGUAAAUGCAGUUCCUUUGUUUUUGGGAGGUUGUGAGGGGGACAGGAAGUUGCCUGCAUCUGAGUCCACUUUGGAUUGCACUCAGCUUUGAGAGAUGGUCAGACGUGCUCUGGUCAUCAGGCCUUGAGCAAGUCUCGGGGCACAGGCUCUGCGCCUCCUAGGUCCAGCAUGUUCUGGAGGAUGCUCGCUGGGCUGUGACAAUAACCCAGAGGCAGGUGAUGCUCUGCCUUCCACUCACCCACGUUUGCUGGGACAUGGCGGAUGCUGCUGUGGAUGCUGCUGACCCCGGAGUGUGCCUCCUGCAUCACGCUGGUGUUGAGUGUGGCCACGCCAAAUUUCCGGCCAUUUAUCACCCCAGUCAUGCUGCCCCAGCUCCCCUGGGGCUCCCCUGUAAGGAAGGGAAAGAAUGACAGUGCCACUGACUAUCCACCCCGGGGCCCACAGCACAAGCAGGCUGUCAUUCCCAUUUCGUGAAGGAGUAAAUGGAGGCUCGGAGAGUUCACCUCCACUUGUCCAAGGACACACAGCUAAGGGGUCAUGGACUCAACGCCCAGGGGAUCUUGGCUCUAAAAGGGAAGGGAGGCUGUUAGGAGGAACCCUGGGCUCAGGGCGGAGCUGGCUUCUAAUUCUGGCUCUGCCAUUCCUUAAAACCUGGCCACCUCAGGCCCCCAAGCCACACCUGAGUUGGCUCACCUGUAAAAUGAGGAGGCGGGACCACAAACUCACAGAAGACCUGUGGGUCUCUGAAAUGCCGGGAGCCCACGAUGGCGUGGCUGGCACACUGAAGGAGCCAGGGCACCGAGCCAGAGCCGGGUGCCAUCACCUGAACAGCCCCAUUCCAUCAGUGCUGCUGGCCCUGGCUGCCCUGCAGCUGGCCUGGCCGGGUGGGCUGGUUUCCUAGCCGCUGCCCGCCAGGCCAUCUGUGAGCAGAUGCUCUUUAGCGCUAAUCAAACGGAUGAUGCAGGCACAGGGGGGUGCUUCCUCUGACUAAUGCGCCAGCUGUCUUGUUUAGGCAGAUGGCAUUCCAGGGGGCGAGAGACAGAAGUUAGCCUGCCUCUCCACUCAGCAGCUCUCAGGGGAAAUUAGCAACAAAUUGCCCAUGAUCUGUCAAAAAAUAACAUAAAACACUCAAGUGCUAGGAUCCUAAAUGGAUGAAUCAAGGGGCUGGUUAAUUUGGGGUUCUAGGAAGCAGGGCCAUUUCCUGCAGCCCAUAGCUGGGGUUUGAUGAGAUUUGAAGCCCAUCUGGGAUGUUUCUCAUCAGUAUCCGAUGCUCUGGGGCCCAUGGGAGGGACAGGAGAAGGGCCGUGAACCUAUCCCUGGCCUUUUAAUAGGGGAGUGAAGAAGAGAUCGGGAGCUGCAGAUGAGAAGGCUGGAGUGUGACCCGCGCAGCUUUGGAAGGGGACAGGAAAUGGAACCCAGGCACGGCAGGCAAGCCACCGCCAGCUCUCUCAGACAUGGAGUGACGUAGCAGCCUCUUGUCCCCCUACAAGGCCAGGAUUGGGACCUGCCAGGCUGAUGGGGAAGGAGGAAAAGCAGGUUUUCAGGAGGGAAAACAGGUUUAGAAGCUCCCAAACCCUGAACUCCCUUCACCCACCCAUGCCCCUUAAGGAAAUCGUCCCACAGAAAUCUUCAGGGCCACACACAAAGAUACGCAGCACGGUGUGGCUUUGGGGAAUGGAAACUAGGAAAAUAAACUACGUUGCUCAUUUGACAAAGCCAA